UGGCGGACGGGUGAGGAAUACAUCGGAAUCUACUCUGUCGUGGGGGAUAACGUAGGGAAACUUACGCUAAUACCGCAUACGACCUACGGGUGAAAGCAGGGGAUCUUCGGACCUUGCGCGAUUGAAUGAGCCGAUGUCGGAUUAGCUAGUUGGCGGGGUAAAGGCCCACCAAGGCGACGAUCCGUAGCUGGUCUGAGAGGAUGAUCAGCCACACUGGAACUGAGACACGGUCCAGACUCCUACGGGAGGCAGCAGUU
rnacentral:rRNA from 1 species